rnacentral:rRNA from 1 species
GAUGAACGCUGGCGGCGUGCCUAAUACAUGCAAGUCGAGCGAACGGACGAGAAGCUUGCUUCUCUGAUGUUAGCGGCGGACGGGUGAGUAACACGUGGAUAACCUACCUAUAAGACUGGGAUAACUUCGGGAAACCGGAGCUAAUACCGGAUAAUAUUUUGAACCGCAUGGUUCAAAAGUGAAAGACGGUCUUGCUGUCACUUAUAGAUGGAUCCGCGCUGCAUUAGCUAGUUGGUAAGGUAACGGCUUACCAAGGCAACGAUGCAUAGCCGACCUGAGAGGGUGAUCGGCCAAACUGGAACUGAGACACGGUCCAGACUCCUACGGGAGGCAGCAGUAGGGAAUCUUCCGCAAUGGGCGAAAGCCUGACGGAGCAACGCCGCGUGAGUGAUGAAGGUCUUCGGAUCGUAAAACUCUGUUAUUAGGGAAGAACAUAUGUGUAAGUAACUGUGCACAUCUUGACGGUACCUAAGCAGAAAGCCACGGCUAACUACGU